rnacentral:lncRNA from 1 species
UGAAAUGGACAUGGGUUUCUGUUAGUUUUAAAGUUGCCCAACUCGAAGUCGAUGUAAUUAUGGGACAACUUGAGCUUUUAGAGUUAGAGAAGAAAGAAAAACGAUUGGAUUAUGUGUGAUUGAAGAAGCUUUUGUAUGUGUGAUUGAAAAUAAAAUUGGGGUUAUAAGUUUUUAAGUUUAGGUUUCUAGGUCCUAAUUUUUGAAGAAUACAGUGAGAGAAAGAUGCUAACUCGAGUUUGUUUGGUGGGUUGGGUAUAAAGAUGGUUGUGGAUAUCAAAAAAAAAAAGAAAAAAGAAAGGGUGUCAGUGCAUGUGAGAGAGAAAUAGAGAAGUUAUUUUAUAAAGGGGUAAAUUCAUCUUAAAAAUUUUAAAACUAAAAUAGGUGGAAAAAUAGGACAUGUGAGUGAAAAUAGCAGCACACAAAAAAAAAAAAAAAAAAAAACUAGAGACUUGUUAAUUAAAGACUUGAAGGACGAGUUUUGAUUAAUUAAAGACCUGCAGGGGCAGACGGGCCGGUGGCAAUAUUUGAUUGUAACAUGUGAAUAUAAUAAUGCACAUUGGCAUUUGUUAAAGCUAAGAUUAAUUACCCAUUGACAAAAAAUAAAUAAGACUAAUUACGCAACAAAACAAAAAGAUAAGAUUAUCAAUGUAGAUUAGUUGGAUUAUUUGUUGGCCUUGCACAUUUUCUUUCUCUAAUUCGUUUGAAUAUGAUCCAAUCUAUAAUGCCAGCAGCCAGCAAGAAAAAAGAAAACAUCAACCAGAUAGUCGCGG